CGUGACUGCUACGGCUGCGCGCACGACGAGAGAACCAGCUAGGCCCGAGCAAGGCUCGCGCCGUCACACCACAAAACACCACCACCUCGAACCGAAGUUGCGACGAAGGGGUGCUUUAGCGGCGUCCUCUAGCUCACAUCCACACGCAGAGAGACACCGAAAACCGCAACAACAGUUGCGGCGGCUUUGCUUUGGUGCGGAGCGCGCCGGCCCCUCUCUUUCUCUCUACCUUUUCACCUCCGUGGCUGGAACUCCGCGCCUAUCCACAAGCUACCCAGGCGCGCGCACACACACACACACACACACACACACAUAGCUGUCGGUGCAUGCGAUUUGGUGCGCUUGAGUGCUUGGAAGUACAACCAGGAGAGUACAGCAAAAAUGUUCUGCUCAUCCGUGCCGCUGAGGUCCCGCAUCCCGGACAUUGGCCACCAAACCACCGCCACCCUGAAGUGGGCCACCUACACUUUCUGGUACCUUCUAGAUCCCAUACUGCGCCGUCAUCACCGGUACUACCGGCGUAAGGUACAGCUGGAUCGCUUUCUGGAGCGGAACAGCAUUGUGGCGAACUCGAUGAUCGGCGUGAUUCUCGGAGUCACGGUGUACUUCAGCGUUGUCUGCGGUGUCCUGCUGCCGCCGGCAGUCGGGGCGAAGGAGCGCACAAUGAAGGAGAACGCACGCGAGGUGCUCAACUUGAUGGAGUGCGACACGUCCAAAGAGUUGCCGGCGUACCAGCUCAUGCGCGUGAAGCGAGAGAUCAUCGGCAAGCUGCACGCCGUCGCGGACGAGGCGGAAGUGCGGCGCCAACGAGAGGAGGCAGCAAAGUUGAGUGAGCUGCUCAAGAGUCUUUGCUGAAGUCGUGGGUAUGCGUAUGCAUGUGUGUCUAUCUUGUGCGUGGCGAUGUGUGUGCGGCCCGAAAGAUGUGGAUGGCUGGGGCGCAGUAUGCGUUCACACGCUCGGUUUUGUACGGUGAAG
rnacentral:misc_RNA from 1 species